GUGGCCCCAAGUCAGGCGAGAUCCACCCGCCGAAUUUAA
rnacentral:rRNA from 1 species